GACGAACGCUGGCGGCGUGCUUAACACAUGCAAGUCGAACGGAAAGGCCCUGCUUUUGUGGGGUGCUCGAGUGGCGAACGGGUGCGUAACACGUGAGUAACCUGCCCUUGACUUUGGGAUAACUUCAGGAAACUGGGGCUAAUACCGGAUAGGAGCUCCUGCUGCAUGGUGGGGGUUGGAAAGUUUCGGCGGUUGGGGAUGGACUCGCGGCUUAUCAGCUUGUUGGUGGGGUAGUGGCUUACCAAGGCUGUGACGGGUAGCCGGCCUGAGAGGGUGACCGGCCACAUUGGGACUGAGAUACGGACCAGACUCCUACGGGAGGCAGCAGUGGGGAAUAUUGCACAAUGGGCGGAAGCCUGAUGCAGCAACGCCGCGUGCGGGAUGACGGCCUUCGGGUUGUAAACCGCUUUCGCCUGUGACGAAGCGUGAGUGACGGUAAUGGGUAAAGAAGCACCGGCUAACUACGUG
rnacentral:rRNA from 1 species